rnacentral:tRNA from 1 species
GCCGUGAAAAGCCUAGAGAGCGCCGAGCUGCUAACUCGGAGGACGUUGGUUCGAGUCCAACCCGGGGCA